rnacentral:lncRNA from 1 species
AAAAUUGCAAUUGCUGAUGCACUGAGUCAACUAUACAAAGGGCAAAAAUACCACUAAUAAUUACAGUGUAAAACCAUGGAAAAUGCACGGUAAUUCCACUAAAAAUACACUGUAAUUCCACUUGCAAAAUACAGAGCAAAAAUCCCUAAAAGUACACUAUAAAUCCACUAAGACUUACAAUGUAAAUUCCACUAAUAAUUACAGUGUAAAUACCAUGGAAAAUGCACAGUAAUUCCACUAAAAAUAGACUGUAAUUCCACUUGCAAAAUACAGAGCAAAAAUCCACUAAAAGUACACUGUAAAUCCACUAAGACUUACAAUGUAAAUUCCACUAAUAAUUACAAUGUAAAUACCAUGGAAAAUGCACAGUAAUUCCACUAAAAAUACACUGUAAUUCCACUUGCAAAAUACAGAGCAAAAAUCCACUAAAAGUACACUGUAAAUCCACUAAGACUUACAGUGUAGAUUCCACUAAUAAUUACAGUGUAAAUACCAUGGAAAAUGCACAGUAAUUUCACUAAAAAUACACUAUAAUUCCACUAAAAAUGCCACUUGCAAAUACAGGGCAAAAAUCCACUAAAAGUACACUGUAAACCCACAGAUUUACAGUGUAAAUUCCACUGUAAUUCCACUAAUAAUUACAGUGUAAACCCACUGAAAAUGCACUCUAAUUCCACUAAAAGUACACUGUAAAUUCCACUUAAAACACACAGAAGAAUUACACUGUAAUACCACUGAGAAAGUACUAAAUUUAACCCCAGAGAAGCACCACCAGAGAGGGCGAUUCCUCCAUGAUCAAGGACACGAACAUGGUUGGAGAAGCAAAAAAAUCACAGGUAAACACCCCCUCCUAUGCAUUCAUCAGCUCCUGUCGUCUCUCGUCUCUCUCCUGCCUGAACAGAUCUGGAAGAAAGAACAUACCUGUAGUGGAUAUUACAUAGGCUAAGUUAAGCACUAAAUCUACAUAGAUCGAAAAUAAGAACAUAAUCGUACAAAAGCUUGAACCAGGAGAAACUCUAGGAACAACUAGGAUAUGGUUGCAUGAAUUUGUAGUCUAUGAUCACAGGAAAACUGAAAACUAGAUGCCCAGAUCAUAGAUUUCUGAAUUUGCAGAAAUAAACACACUACAAGGAUCAAAACAAGCUCACGAAGCUAGCAAUUCCAUUUUAGGAAAACUAGUUAAAAACAUACAAGGGGGAAGAUUGCCCGAGUUGAGAGAAAAUAUGACUAUUUUCGCAAACUUUGGAAACUAAAAACCUAAACACUGUUAAGAAACCUUGAUUACUGGUUUUAGACACUUUCUACCCGUUCUUAAAUAGCUGUGACUGAAGGACUGAAUUUAAGUAACUUUGGAAGUGCAAACUACUAUGAUCUGAUGCUUGCUUACAUUGAAUAUUGAUAGGCAUUAACAUAAGCACUAAAAAAUGAAAUUAACAGAAAAAGGACAAACACAAUCAGGCUAAAAACAUUCACACUAGAAGGCACUCACACUAGUAGCAACAAACAAAAAGAAUCUAUAGAACUGAUAACAUAUUUACAUUUCAGAACUAAAAGGACAAAUUUGUGACCGUUAGAUCAAAUUACUGGGACCUAUUACAAAAUUACUCUGCAUUUAUUUACAGUUCAGAAUUGAAUACUUGUUUGCAUUAAUAGAUAAUUUACUCAAACUACUGAAGGCAGAUGCCUACAAUCGACCAAAUGCAAUGAAAUGCAUCAUCAAAGGACAUGCGAUGUACCUCAAUGACGAGGUUGAUUUCCUUAACAUAUGGCUUUCUAAUAGCAGAAAAAAAAUCCUGAAAACAAAAAACAUUAUUAAAAACAUGCUUUCUCUAACUAGUUUCUUGACAAAUAACAGAGUGGGUCAUACGCUUUUACCGAGCUACUUCAGGCGCAAAUGAUGUACAAGGUUUGCAUUGCAAAAAAAUCAUAGAAAACUAAAAUAGGGAAAAUCUACCAACACUAGUCAUCUGCUAAUGAUAUUCAGUUUAACGUAGUGUGUUGGAAAAAAGGGAAAAUUCAGAGUAGAUCACUGUAACUUACACACUCCUGAAGUUACAAGCCAAUGGAACAAAACACUCAAAAUUGCAGUGUAAGACAGACUAAUAAAAGAGUGAAACUACAGUCCGAAUCACCGUUACUUUUCUGAAAAUAUUCAGUCCACAUCACUGUCCAAUUAACUCAAAGUUACAGUCCAAAUCACUCACCAAAACAGUAAAAAUUACAGUACAACGCAUUGUUACUUGACUUGAAAAAUUCAAUCUACAUCACUAUCCUAUUCACUCAAAGUUACAGUCCAAAUCACUACUCAAAACACUGAAAAUUGCAGUCCAAAUCAUUGUUACUUAACUGAAAAAAUUCAGGCCAUGUCACUAUCCAAUUCACUCACAGUUACACUCUAAAUCACUAACCAAAACCACUAAAAAUUAGAGUCCAAAAUUUCUACUAAACUGAAAAAAAUCAGUUCACGAAAUACACAUCACGAGACUGAACCCACCAAGAGGGUCAGCAUUUGUAUCCCAGCCAUCUACAUAAGACACAUACCAGACGAACGACAACCUACCAAACUAGCAGAUGACAAAGGGAUCAGUGUACUUCUAGUCUAAAUUUAAUGUGAAUAUCAGUGAUCUACUCAAGGGGCAACACAAACCACAUACAUCUACACAAAAUAUGUGCGGGUAAUACAUGCAACUAACACAAACAACAAGAUCUGACCGAGAAAACUCUACACGCAACUAACAAACAGAUCUGACGAACGACACAAAUCGACGGGGAAAAAUAGUACCCGCGGUGGGGGAGGGAGGUGGCGUGGGGAGAUGCUGCAGACCUCCGGUGCGGCAGACGGAGGGGGCGGGGCAGCCGGACGCCGUACCACCAGCCUACUGAAUCGGGCGGCAAGGGGAGCUCCAAAUCGCCAUGGCUGUCUCACUCUCGCUCGACUCUGUUCCGGUUGUGUCUUCGAAAUGAGUAGGGAAACGAGGAGGAGGAGAACGGGCAACCACAACAACGCGAGCGAUAGCGAAGGAAGGGUACCG